rnacentral:rRNA from 1 species
UAGGGAAUCUUCGGCAAUGGGGGCAACCCUGACCGAGCAACGCCGCGUGAGUGAAGAAGGUUUUCGGAUCGUAAAGCUCUGUUGUAAGAGAAGAACGUGUGUGAGAGUGGAAAGUUCACACAGUGACGGUAACUUACCAGAAAGGGACGGCUAACUACGUGCCAGCAGCCGCGGUAAUACGUAGGUCCCGAGCGUUGUCCGGAUUUAUUGGGCGUAAAGCGAGCGCAGGCGGUUUAAUAAGUCUGAAGUUAAAGGCAGUGGCUUAACCCUUGUGCGCUUUGGAAACUGUUAAACUUGAGUGCAGAAGGGGAGAGUGGAAUUCCAAGUGUAGCGGUGAAAUGCGUAGAGAUAUGGAGGAGCACCGGUGGCGAAAGCGGCUCUCUGGUCUGUAACUGACGCUGAGGCUCGAAAGCGUGGGGAGCAAACAGG